rnacentral:lncRNA from 1 species
AGACUGUGUAGUAUUGAAAACAACACACUGGAAACAAAAAUCUAAUAGGCAUUUUAUUAAUUUGAUUGAAUCAAACUUAUCCUUCUUAGAAAUGACCUUUAAAAUAAUACUUGCAGUGAACGUUCUGCAGAUUUCUUCACCUGGAACCUCCUGGGGCUUAGAAAGGCUGCAGCAAUAACCUCAGGUUUCCCCUGUGAUUGUAUCAGUACACCAAAGGAGAAAUGCUACCUGAAAUGACGAGCAAGGGAAAGGCACUUCUGGGCUCAUAGCCUAUCAUGUUGCACAUGGAUAGUUGUGCCAAAAAUUACAUCAGUAUUUUGGCUGGAUUCCUAAAGAAACUAAAAUGAAAUUGAGUCAUGCCAAAGCUUUGUUCAAUUAAGCAAUUGCAUUUCAAGGUUCCUUUUUAAAACAAGCUAGAUGAAACUGCCUUUAUGUGAUACUUUCCUUCGCCCUGCAAUAGAGAAGAUCAUUCAUUCUCAGCACCAUGUGAAAUAAGUCCCCUUCACUAAUAAUGCCUUUGAAAAUAUGGGUGUAAAAGAAUCGAAUUCUGGAAGAUGCUGAGGAGAUGUGUUUUAUUUUUCUAGUGGAUCUUUCCUACUUUUACUUCCCUUCAUGCCUGAACCUAAAGGACCUUUUUGAAGGAAGGAAAUUACUUCCUUUUGGAUGAAGAAAUCCUUGCAUCUACCUGUCUUGGUGUAACACCAAUGUUCUGCCAGGAUGUCUUAGGCAUAAAGAAAUAUGAGGACAGAGGCCACCCUUCCAGAGACAGAAGUGUUUCGUGUCUCCUGUUUCUGGCCCAUGGACUUGGGUAAGCAUUAAAGUGGUCAUCUCCUGCCUUUUAUGGUUCACCAGCCAAUGGGACAAAACCCUUGGAAUCAAGGAUUAGUCUGAUUGCAGGAGUCAAGUGCUUUUCUUCAGUUUGUAUUACUGGUAAGUGUCUAUUAUAAAUUGUUCUGUAAACAUCAUUCUACAAAGACUGAUGAGCUGAGUAAGUCAAUGAAAUAAUGAAUUCUAAUAAAGGCACAGUUCUCAUUUGAUUAUGAAUAUAU